rnacentral:rRNA from 1 species
AUAUCAGGUCAAAAAGAAAAAGGCUUAAGGCGGAUACCUAGGCAUCCAGAGUCGAUGAAGGGCGUAGAAACCGACGAAACGCUUUGAGGAGCUGGAAACAAGCUGUGAAUCAAAGAUUCCCGAAUGGGGCAACCC